AGAGUUUGAUCAUGGCUCAGGAUGAACGCUAGCUACAGGCUUAACACAUGCAAGUCGAGGGGAAACGACAUCGAAAGCUUGCUUUUGAUGGGCGUCGACCGGCGCACGGGUGAGUAACGCGUAUCCAACCUGCCCACCACUUGGGGAUAACCUUGCGAAAGUAAGACUAAUACCCAAUGACGUCUCUAGAAGACAUCUGAAAGAGAUUAAAGAUUUAUCGGUGAUGGAUGGGGAUGCGUCUGAUUAGCUUGUUGGCGGGGUAACGGCCCACCAAGGCGACGAGUCAGUAGGGGUUCUGAGAGGAAGUCCCCACAUUGGAACUGAGACACGGUCCAAACUCCGUACGGGAGGCA
rnacentral:rRNA from 1 species